GACGUAGGGCGCGAGCGUUGUCCGGAUUUAUUGGGCGUAAAGAGCUCGUAGGCGGCUUGUUGCGUCGGCUGUGAAAUCCCGUGGCUUAACUGCGGGCUUGCAGCUGAUACGGGCGGGCUAGAGUUCGGUAGGGGAGACUGGAAUUCCUGGUGUAGCGGUGAAAUGCGCAGAUAUCAGGAGGAACACCGGUGGCGAAGGCGGGUCUCUGGGCCGAUACUGACGCUGAGGAGCGAAAGCGUGGGGAGCGAACAGG
rnacentral:rRNA from 1 species